ACCGUGGUAAUUCUAGAGCUAAUACAUGCUAAAAACCCCGACUUCGGAAGGGGUGUAUUUAUUAGAUAAAAAACCAAUGCCCUCUGGGCUCUUUGGUGAUUCAUAAUAACUUAACGAAUCGCAUGGCCUUGCGCCGGCGAUGGUUCAUUCAAAUUUCUGCCCUAUCAACUUUCGAUUGUAAGAUAGAGGCUUACAAUGGUAUUAACGGGUAACGGGGAAUUAGGGUUCUAUUCCGGAGAGGGAGCCUGAGAAACGGCUACCACAUCCAAGGAAGGCAGCAGGCGCGCAAAUUACCCAAUGCUAAUUCAGCGAGGUAGUGACAAUAAAUACUGAUACGGGGCUCUUUCGGGUCUCGUAAUUGGAAUGAGUACAAUCUAAAUCCCUUAACGAGGAACAAUUGGAGGGCAAGUCUGGUGCCAGCAGCCGCGAUAAUUCCAGCUCCAAUAGCGUAUAUUAAAGUUGUUGCCGUUAAAAAGCUCGUAGUUGAACCUUGGACCUGGCUGAUCUGUCCUCCUAAUCGAGCGCACGGAUUCGGUCGGGUCUUUCCUUCUGGGGAGCCCUAUGCCCUUCACUGGGUGUAGUGGGGAACCAGGACUUUUACCUUGAAAAAAUUAGAGUGUUCAAAGCAGGCCUUUGCUCGAAUACAUUAGCAUGGAAUAAUAGAAUAGGACAUCGGUUCUAUUUUGUUGGUUUCUAGGACCGCUGUAAUGAUUAAUAGGGAUAGUCGGGGGCGUCAGUAUUCAAUUGCCAGAGGUGAAAUUCUUGGAUUUAUUGAAGACUAACUACUGCGAAAGCAUUCGCCAAGGAUGUUUUCAUUAAUCAGUGAACGAAAGUUAGGGGAUCGAAGACGAUCAGAUACCGUCGUAGUCUUAACCAUAAACUAUGCCGACUAGGGAUCGGACGGUGGUUUUUUUAUGCCCCGUUCGGCACCUUACGAGAAAUCAAAGUUUUUGGGCUCGGGGGGGAGUAUGGUCGCAAGGCCGAAACUUAAAGAAAUUGACGGAAGGGCACCACCAGGCGUGGAGCCUGCGGCUUAAUUUGACCCAACACGGGGAAACUCACCAGGUCCAGACAUGCUUAGGAUUGACAGAUUGAUAGCUCUUUCUUGAUUGUAUGGGUGGUGGUGCAUGGCCGUUCUUAGUUGGUGGAGUGAUUUGUCUGCUUAAUUGCGAUAACGAACGAGACCUUGACCUGCUAAAUAGCCAGGUUGACUUUUGUCGGCCGCCGGCUUCUUAGAGGGACUUUUGU
rnacentral:rRNA from 1 species